UCAGUUCUGGUUUUGAAUUUCUGUGACUUCUGGCAGGUCAUUUGGCCUCUCUGAGCCUCAGGAAGGCUGUACGGUGGGGAGAAUACGAACCCUGCAAAAGAGGGGGCCUCAACCCCUUCAGGUGGGACCACAGGGGACAGGACGAUGGGACCUCCUACCAGAGACACUUCCAGGCCCUGCCGAGCCCACCGGCCUUGAUGUGUAAGAGGGCCUUCUCCAGCGUGCAACUGGGAGACUUCAAGAUUGGCUAUGGGCCCAUGUGUUCGGAGCAGAAACAAGCCUACAGGCCCCAGGGUCUGCCCCCAGACAGGUAUGACAAGGCCCAGGCCGCAGCCCACAUCCACUAUGUGAAUAUUCGUCCUGGAGAUGGCCUGUUCCAUGACAGGACCACCAAGGCUGACCACUUCUAUGCCCGAG